rnacentral:rRNA from 1 species
UACGUAGGUGGCAAGCGUUGUCCGGAUUUAUUGGGUUUAAAGGGUGCGUAGGCGGUUCAAUAAGUCAGUGGUGAAAUACGGCAGCUCAACUGUCGAGGUGCCAUUGAUACUGUUGGACUUGAGUACAGACGAGGUAGGCGGAAUUGACGGUGUAGCGGUGAAAUGCUUAGAUAUGACAUAGAACACCAAUUGCGAAGGCAGCUGGCUACACAAAUAUUGACACUGAGGCACGAAAGCGUGGGGAUCAAACAGG